rnacentral:rRNA from 1 species
GCGUGAGUGAUGGAGGCCUUAGGGUCGUAAAGCUCUUUCGCCAGAGAUGAUAAUGACAGUAUCUGGUAAAGAAACCCCGGCUAACUCCGUGCCAGCAGCCGCGGUAAUACGGAGGGGGUUAGCGUUGUUCGGAAUUACUGGGCGUAAAGCGCACGUAGGCGGAUCAGAAAGUUGGGGGUGAAAUCCCAGGGCUCAACCCUGGAACGGCCUCCAAAACUCCUGGUCUUGAGUUCGAGAGAGGUGAGUGGAAUUCCGAGUGUAGAGGUGAAAUUCGUAGAUAUUCGGAGGAACACCAGUGGCGAAGGCGGCUCACUGGCUCGAUACUGACGCUGAGGUGCGAAAGUGUGGGGAGCAAACAGGAUUAGAUACCCUGGUAGUCCACACCGUAAACGAUGAAUGCCAGUCGUCGGGUAGUAUACUGCUCGGUGACACACCUAACGGAUUAAGCAUUCCGCCUGGGGAGUACGGUCGCAAGAUU